rnacentral:tRNA from 1 species
UAACUGCCGAAUUUUUUGAAACCCUGUUGAUAUUAAAAAAAUAAUUCUUAAAAAGCAUAUGCUGG